CAGCAGCCGCGGGAAUACGUAGGGUGCGAGCGUUAAUCGGAAUUACUGGGCGUAAAGCGUGCGCAGGCGGUUCGUUAAGACAGAUGUGAAAUCCCCGGGCUUAACCUGGGAACUGCAUUCGUGACUGGCGAGCUAGAGUAUGGCAGAGGGGGGUAGAGUUCCACGUGUAGCAGUGAAAUGCGUAGAGAUGUGGAGGAAUACCGAUGGCGAAGGCAGCCCCCUGGGCCAAUACUGACGCUCAUGCACGAAAGCGUGGGGAGCAAACAGGAUUAGAUACCCGUGUAGUCCCUGUCUCUUAUAC
rnacentral:rRNA from 1 species